GGCUCUGUAGUGAAGUUCAUAGUGAGUUGCAAGCUCAUUGAUGCGCGUUAAUAUCGUGCCGGAGUCU
rnacentral:tRNA from 1 species